rnacentral:rRNA from 1 species
CCUACGGGAGGCAGCAGUGAGGAAUAUUGGUCAAUGGUCGUACGACUGAACCAGCCAAGUAGCGUGCAGGAUGACGGCCCUAUGGGUUGUAAACUGCUUUUAUGCGGGGAUAAAAUGCGUCACGUGUGAUGUUUUGUAGGUACCGCAUGAAUAAGGACUGGCCAAUUCCGUGCCAGCAGGCGCGGUAAUACGGAAGGUCCGGGCGUUACCCGGGUUUUUUGGGGUUAAAGGGGGCGUAGGCCGCAUGUUAAGCGUGGCGUGAAAUUCCGUGGCUCAACCAUGGCACGGCGGUGCGAACUGGCGUGCUUGAGUGCGCGGAACGUAUGCGGAAUGCGUGGUGUAGCGGUGAAAUGCUUAGAUAUCACGCAGAACUCCGAUUGCGAAGGCAGCAUACGGCAGCGCUACUGACGCUGAAGCACGAAAGCGCGGGUAUCGAACAGGAUUAGAUACCCCUGUAGUC